GUACACGCUGUGACUAGCAUAUCAAUAAGCGGAGGAAAAGAAACUAACAAGGAUUCCCCUAGUAACGGCGAGUGAAGCGGGAAGAGCUCAAAUUUGAAACCUUAAAGGGUUCCCCUUUACGAAUUGUAGUUUAAAGAAGUGUUUUCUGUUGAGGUUUUGGUAAAAGUUCUUUGGAAUAGGACAUCAUAGAGGGUGAGAAUCCCGUAUUUGACCUUUACUUUCAACUUUGUGAUACACUUUCAAAGAGUCGGAUUGUUUGGGAAUGCAGUCCAAAAUGGGUGGUAAAUUUCAUCUAAAGCUAAAUAUUGGCGAGAGACCGAUAGCGAACAAGUACCGUGAGGGAAAGAUGAAAAGAACUUUGAAAAGAGAGUUAAACAGUACGUGAAAUUGUCAAAAGGGAAGCGUUUGACACCAGUGUUGUUUUUCUGAAAAUCAAUUAAAGAACUGUUUAUGCUAAGCUGUUUAGACUUUAUCAGCUAAUCUGUUUAGUUUUGAGCUUUUCUUUAAUGCACUUUUCAGUUAACAAGUCAACAUCAAUUUCUUUUGCUGUAAAAAAGCUUGAGGAAGGUGGCUUGAGAUUCGUCUUAAGUGUUUAUAGCCUCUUGCCUAUGCAGUCGGAGAGAUUGAGGUCUGCAGCGUAGAUCCUUCGGGGCUAAAUGCAUUUGUGCUAAGUUAUAGCAUUUUAUAGACAACUUGUUGACUAUGAUUUGUCUUGUAGCUUACUCGCUUAUGUUAUUUUACCUACGCUUAGGAUGUUGACGCGCGUGUGUGCGUG
rnacentral:rRNA from 1 species